GUAGGUGGCAAGCGUUGUCCGGAAUUAUUGGGCGUAAAGCGCGCGCAGGCGGUUCUUUAAGUCUGAUGUGAAAGCCCACGGCUCAACCGUGGAGGGUCAUUGGAAACUGGAGAACUUGAGUACAGAAGAGGAAAGCGGAAUUCCACGUGUAGCGGUGAAAUGCGUAGAGAUGUGGAGGAACACCAGUGGCGAAGGCGGCUUUCUGGUCUGUAACUGACGCUGAGGCGCGAAAGCGUGGGGAGCAAACAGGGAUUAGAUACCCUGGUAGUCCACGCCGUAAACGAUGAGUGCUAAGUGUUAGGGGGGUUACCGCCCCCCUUAGUGCUGCAGCUAACGCAUUAAGCACUCCGCCUGGGAGUACGGCCGCAAGGCUG
rnacentral:rRNA from 1 species